GUCACGGUGGCCGAGAGGUUAAGGCGUUGGACUCGAUUUUCAGUGCACAGGUUCGAAUCCUGUUCGUGACG